rnacentral:misc_RNA from 1 species
UCUAUAUAAAUGCAUGAGAAAUAUGGUGUUUUAUUGCCUAUAUGAUAGUAGCACUCUAUUCUCAAUCCACAAAAACAGAAAAACAAAGCAUAGGCAACUUGAGCAGAGUAUUCUUUAGUUUAUAGACAUAAUCCAUUUUAUGACCAAAUUAAUGAAAUAAUUUAAUUGACAAAAUCAAAAUCAAAAUCAAAAUAAAAUAAGUCUUAAUUAAUAACUUAAAUUUCACAUAGAUCAAGCUUGACCCUAACUCAUUUAACAAGUUCUAAAAUAUCAAUGAGUUUUGCUUGCAGAUUUAUGUGAACAAAUUUAAAUGAUCUUUUAUAUUUUGAGCUAAACAAUACACAAAUCAUGAACAAUAAAAAAACCAUUUUACACCCUAGUUAGAACUUAGGACAAAUUAAUCUUAAUAUAUGUUAUCAUAAUAAUUACAACAACAAGAAGGCAUCGUAAUAAUGGCAUCAAAGUUGACUCUUUAAUAUUAUGUUCCUGACUAGCUCUAUUGAGCACCAUCCUUCUGAGAGUUGAAUUAAUAGCACUAAAUUUUUUCAAGAAUGGAUUUCUAAAAAUAUGCUAAAACCCAAUUGUGUUGUACUCAUUGCUUCCAAAGAACAUAGGCUCUAUCAUCUUGGACCACAAUACAGCAUCCAUCCAUCUUUGUUUCUUGCUGUUGAUUGCCUCUUUUUUUCAUUAUUAUUUUUUUUGGUGUGAGUUGAACAGCCAUAAUUUAAGUAAAAUCAGAGCAAUCAUCCUCAUAUACAUCAUUUAUUUUGGGAAAGUGUGAUAGUGGAGACCAUAGGCAACAUUCUAAGUAUAGCUCUAUAAUGUUUCACCAUAAUCAAGUAGCUUGGCUUAUUGUCUGAAUAUUUUGUUUCUUUC